UACAAGUAACACACAAACCGCACACCUAGCUCCCUGGCAUGUAACUGAAUUCAUAGCUAAUACAUUUGAUUUUACCUACUUGAGCAAAAUCUCCAGGGAAUAAUGACUAUGGAAAUGAUGUUAGACAAAAAAGCAAAUUCGAAUGAUUUUCUUACUCCAUUUCAAAAUGGGUCAUAAAGCAGUGGAAACAACUCACAACAUCAAGGAAUUUGUCCCAGGAACUGCUUACAGUUCCGUGGUGGUUCAAGAAGUGUUGCAAAGGAGAGGAGAGCCUUGAAGAUGAGGUGCUAGCAGGCCACCAUUGGAAGUUGAUAACUAUCAAUUAAGAGCAAUCAUCAAAGCUGAUCCUCUCACAACGACGUGAGAAGUUGCCAAAGAACUCAAUGUCAACCAUUGUAACCUAGAUGAAACUAAACAUUAGCUUUUUC
rnacentral:lncRNA from 1 species